CUAUGACUACCUACAGUCAUGGCGGAAGGAG
rnacentral:ncRNA from 1 species